rnacentral:lncRNA from 1 species
CAGCAGUCUCAGCUGUAAAAAUAGAGUCCCCAGGGAAUACUGAUAGCCUUUUUCCAAUAAAGCGAAAUCUAUUUGCAAUAAUAGGUAUAUGCAAAGACCUCCUGAAAUUACAGGAGCAAACUCCUUCCGCAUCUCGACCUAAUUAAGAUCCGUUACUCAACAGUGAUCAGUCAGAUUUUACUGUAAGAAGGAAGAAAACAAGGAUCCUGCUAGAACAACAUGGAAACAGGACCUACAACAAAGAGAUUUCUCACUGGCUUCCUGGUGGUUCAUUCAAUAGGGAAUUCCUGCAGCAAGUUGGAGGGAGGGAGGAGAAGCAGCACUGAUUCCAUGAACAGAGAUUCAUGCCACUGUGUAGUCUGCAACAAAACAUUGAAGAUGGUUUCCAAUAUCCAGAUGGACAGGCUGACCAUGAGUGCAAAUCUUCUUGUCCUUAGGAAAAAAAACUUCAAAGGGUAGACAACAGCCAAAUACCGAUCAACGGCAAUGCAGGAAAGACACACACAGAGAUCCAAUAUUGGCUGGAAUGCUGACUAUAAUCACAAAGAUGUAAACAAUGGGAAACAAAUAGUGAUCCAGGUCAUGCUGUUCUUCAAUACAUGUGCUGUUCAUUUUUUCCUUUUUAAGGUAGCAAUUAUAUUAGUUCUUAGAAAGUAAACAGAGAAGUCUUG